GGGCCUGGUCUAGGAUGCAGUGCAUCUAAGCCCCCGAGUCCUUGUUCCUCUGGGUCCUGACACUUUCUCUGUUAUUCCUUGUUUUUGGUGAUCUGGCCGUUUUGGGGGGAGCACAGCUUGGGAAUUUGGUGACACAUUGUCCAAUCAGGGUCUGCCUGAAGGUUUUUUAUGGCUGGACCAGGGCUUUGGGAUUUUGGAAAAAGACCAUAGAGGUGAGGUGGUCUUUGUCACAUGAUCUCCAUGUGGCAUUGCUUGUACGUUCAAGUAAAAUUCUGGAAGAAUGUCCAGACUGCAUGUCGGCUGUAGGAGAUGUAUCUACAGAGAUACGCAGAGGCAUAUUUCAACCACAAGUGUGGGAGGUAUGUCGCACCCUCCUCCCCACCUCCCUUGCUACAUGAUUUUUGAGGAACUUUCCCGGACAUCCUGCAAUCUGACUUGGCCAAUUUCCUUGCUGAAAUCAGACCUCAUCACAACACUGAAGCCCGGGCCGCAGACUUCCCGGAGGCCGCGCCUCCCCGCCGUGGGCUCUUUGGAAAGCCGCCUCCAGCUCUCACAGACCUUUUGAGGAGCAUCUUUUGAGAUGAAUUUGGCCAAAAUGAGUCCUCUGGGGAAGAGGCCAGUGGGGAGGGAGUCGUUUGUUCUGGAAUGGGCCAGAGCUGGCUGUCGGUGCCCCUCUACCGUGUAUGGCUGGUGACCAAUGCGCAGGUUGCGCCACCUGUCACCUCUCCGACCCCUACCCUACUCACCUGCCAGAGGGGCUAAUCCUGGUGCUGACGGCACAGAUCAAGGUGGGAAGCCGACAUUCUACGGAUGCCACAGGUUGCUGCCUCAGUGGCUGUGCGCCGUAUGGCUCCAGACACCAAAGGAAUGUGUGCGAAGGUGAUGCCUGUGAGCUGGGGUGACUUGCUAUGGUAUAGGGGACCCCCCCUGGGGACCUUUGGAGCAUAAUCACCUGGAUCAGACUCUGCUUCUCCUGGAGGAAUCUGCUGCUGUCCAGGCCAGAGAACGACUUGGCCAUUCCCGGCUCCGUCCUGCUGCUGACCAGGACCUGCAUGGGGUCCCCAUGGAUCCGGAAACUCAGCAUGUCCGAAGCCAAAAUCUCUGAGGUUGCUGGCUGCUUGUCCCCCUUCCCCCCCAUGCCCUCACCAAAUCCUCUGCUUUCUAUUUUCAAUUCGGUUUCCUGCGUCCAGGCCACCCUGCAGUCAGUACCUGCCUCCCCCCAGGCCUAGACCACCCUACGUGCAGAUUGUCACCUCCAAAACGGCGUGUAGCGUGGGUGCCAGAGGAAGGGGUGCUGGGCAGCCUGGAGAGGGGGCUGCUGGCGGGGUGACUGCUCUCAGCUGCUCUCCCUGCCGGGCUGGGGCUUCUCUCUCACCGGAGUGGUGAGAGGGGAGCUCCGUGCUGGGGUGCGGGCGCGCGGCCUCCCCAGCCAGGGCCUCUGCACUCUCGGCCACACUGCGUGGGCUGUCUGCUUCCAGAGCUCCUUCCUCCUUUCUCCACGCCUUGCCCUCCAGGGGCUCCUGCACCUGAGUGUCAUGGAUUUUCUCAGCCCAUCCUUAUCCUCCAGACGCACUGCAGAGUAACGGUCAACAACUCCACCCAGUCCAUCCCCGGCUGUCCCCUCGUCUCCUCCGCCUCCGCACCACGGAUCUGAAUAUGACUUUGCUUUCUAGUUGACCAUAACUAUUAUUUACCAACCCUCCCUAAAGCUUCUGUGUAUAUCAUCUCACUUAAUUCCCAUAAUACCCCUGCCAGCUGGCGGUAUGAGAACCAUCGGCCCCAUUUUGCAGUGGGGAGACUGAGGCCCCACAGAGCUCAGGCUGCUGCCCAAAGCCACGGAGCCAGGAGGAAACACAAGUGGGGUGUAGACUCAGGGCAGUGUCAUUUCUGGGCUCAUGCUUUUUACAUGUGGCCACACGGAGCCCAUCUGGGGCCCUUCCAGCAGGGCUGAGACUAGGGUGAGGCCAGGGAGGCACUCCCUUGGGCACAGAAAAUACUCAUGGAGACAAAUAGUAUUCUAAUGCAAUUAAAAAAAAUCAAAAUGCAAAAAAGAAAAAAAUGCAAAAAAAAAAAAAAUUAACCCCCCCCCCCCCACAAAAAACCAAGCUCUACUUUCUCCCCACGAUGUAGAAAAAAGGAAGACAUAAAACAAAGCCAGGCUACAGAUGUGCCCUGGCCCAGUGCUGCCUCACCCACGGUGCCCUAAACCCCCCUAAACCCGAUGGUGCCAGUAAACAUCAUUAGCACAAACAGAAGGCAGCCCUGGGCUAUAGUUCAUUGAUUUGAAUUUACAGAGAGAAGGUUCUCCUGGAUGUGCUGCUUCCGACUCCACCUGCCAGUUUUUAUUAUGUAAAUUUCCCAGCAAGCAGAAAAGGUGAAAGAAUUUAAUGCAGUGAAAACCUGUGUGACCUGUGCCUUUUUUUAUCUCUCCCUCUGGACCAGAAGCACCUCAAGGACUCAGGCACUGCAGGGGUGGGGGGGAGCCCCAGGUGCAGGGGUGCAGUCCCCCCACCCCCGAUGCGCCCCUCAGAACCUGCACUCCGACAGGCCCAGGGCUUCCAAGCAUGCAGUGAGGCUUCGAAGCAAGUCCUGGCAUGAGGUCGGAUGGCCCUGGGUUCGAAUCCUCGCCCCAGCAUUCUUGCCUGCUCAGUUUGACAGCGAUUGUUAAGUGCUGGGGCUCCUGCCGAGUCCUUCACGGACAUCAGCCCAUCCCCUUAGUCUUCAUUACAACCCAGGGGCCCUCAAACCGGCCUUCUGUCCCCCCCGGGGGCACUUGGUGAUGUCUGGAGACUGUUGGCUGUUGCACCUGGGAGGGGCGUGCUGCUGGCCUCUGUGGGUAGGGGCCGGGGAGGCCGCGGCUGCACCCCGUCCAGCGCGGGGCGGCCCCACAAGCAGAGUCAGUCAGCCCAAGGUGCUGUUGGCGAGGCUGAGACACCUGCCUGGUCAUCACCUGUUGUGCAGAGAAGGAACAAGGCUGAGGGGAGGCUGCUGCAGCCGGGCCCGUGUGGUAUGUGGCGCCUGUGACAGCCCCGCGACGGUGAUGGUAACAGACCACCAGCUCGUCCCGUUGACGGACACUCUCUAAACGUCCUCUCUGGGUCAGUGCUGGGAUCCCCUCGGCUCGCGUUGGCACCCAGCCGCCCCCCGAGGGCCGCUGCUGACCACAGCCGAGGCCCGCGACCCUGCGGAGCACUCAGGACCUCUCCUGGCCGUCCCACGACACCGUGUGUCAUCCCCGUUUGACAUUUCCUCGGGAGGCAGCAAGGUCCUCGGGGGCGGCGCUGGGCUGUGCUUUUCUGCUCCCCCAAGCUCUAGGUGUCUGCGUAGAGCCGGGCUGCCCCGGGGCCCCCGGAAGCCCUGGGGUCCAUGGGCAGCACCCCAGGCGGCCCCUCUGGGGAACAGACGUGCUGUUUGCAAACCUCCGCCCAGAGGCUGCGAGAUGGGCCUGAGGGGCCCGGUUCGGGGACACGCUCCUCGCCCAUGCACAGGCUUGCGGGGUCUGGCGACACUCGGGACAUCCUUAUGCUGAGAAGUGAUCCCUCGUUUACCUGAAAUUCAAAUGUCCUGUGUCUUAUCUCAGCGCUACUUCCUGGACCCCCCCCCCGCCCCCCGCUUUAUUAUUUCGUGUAAAUGUUUUAUUGAGGAGUGAAAUACACGGACAGAAAAGGGCGCAAAUCGUAACCGACCGGAUGCGUGGGAUUUCACAAAGCGCGCACCCCGGGUAGCCAGCACCCAGAUCUAGAGAUGGGAUGUGACCCCGGAUGACCCCCGUGCCCCUCCAGGGCCUCGCACCCCCCCACAGCUAAGCACCGUCUUUAUUCCCAGCCCCAUACAUGGCCCGAACUGCUUUGGGAGAUCGGUGUGAGGAAGCACAUAGUAUGCUCUCGAGGCCUGGCUUCUUUCUCUUGACACCACGUCCCGAGCCGCAUCCCUGUGGCCGGGUGCCUCAUCUGUUCUCAGCGAUCUAGAAUAUUCCAUCACGAUAGGGCACCCUUUGUUUCCCCAUCCCAGGCUGAUGGGCAUUUCUAGUCUGAGGGUCUUAUGAAUAAAGCUGUACAGAAUA